rnacentral:misc_RNA from 1 species
AUGCGUCCCACAUCGGUUCUGCAGUAAGGUCUUAGGUGUUACAUAUAUGAGUUAGGCAGGUUCAUAUCAACGAAUAUGCUUAUAAUUAUAUUACAUUUUCUAACAUGAAAAUAACAAAAAAUAAAAAAGAGCAAGACCUUCGAGGCCAGCCUUCCCCUAAAGUUAUAGAAAACCCAAAACAAUUCUGCUUGCACAUGUGCACACACACAUAUACAUUCCUCCUAUGCUCAAAAUUGUUGCAUGAUACUCAUGUUUCAUGUAGCAUGUAAAAAGAGCUUCGCAAACCAGGGUUGAAUGAUUAUAAGCCUAUUUGGCAUUGCGUUUGGAUGACCAAAAUUACUUUUUUGAAUAAAAGUACCAUUUUCAAUGCUGUUGAAAAAAAU